UCCCUGGUGGUCUAGUGGCUAAGACUCUGAGCUCCCAAUGCAGGGGACCCAGGUUCAUUUCCUUCUCAGGGAA
rnacentral:tRNA from 1 species